GACGAACGCUGGCGGCGUGCCUAAUACAUGCAAGUUGAGCGCUGAAGGUUGGUACUUGUACCAACUGGAUGAGCAGCGAACGGGUGAGUAACGCGUGGGGAAUCUGCCUUUGAGCGGGGGGCAACAUUUGGAAACGAAUGCUAAUACCGCAUAAAAACUUUAAACACAAGUUUUAAGUUUGAAAGAUGCAAUUGCAUCACUCAAAGAUGAUCCCGCGUUGUAUUAGCUAGUUGGUGAGGUAAAGGCUCACCAAGGCGAUGAUACAUAGCCGACCUGAGAGGGUGAUCGGCCACAUUGGGACUGAGACACGGCCCAAACUCCUACGGGAGGCAGCAGUAGGGAAUCUUCGGCAAUAGACGAAAGUCUGACCGAGCAACGCCGCGUGAGUGAAGAAGGUUUUCGGAUCGUAAAACUCUGUUGGUAGAGAAGAACGUUGGUGAGAGUGGAAAGCUCAUCAAGUGACGGUAACUACCCAGAAAGGGACGGUUAACUACGUG
rnacentral:rRNA from 1 species